GCCUCAUGCCAAAACUCGUUGGAAAUCUUCAACAGGUUUGAAGAUCAAAGUAAAAUAAAUUGAGGCAUUCACCUCUAAUCCUCGUGACUUCUUCAUAUAUUACAUCAACUUUCAUGUGAAUUCAGUACUACUUAACCAAAACUUUGGGCCAUUUGAAGAAACAGUUAAAUAGUAAGUGAAAAUUAACAGACCUUGACCUAUGGAACAACAAACAAAAUUAAUCCAAACCACAAGAACCAAAUAUAUUCUAGAUUGUAAUCCUCUGUAAAACUGCUAGUCAUAUCCCACAAGUCCACAUACAUUAUUCAACAAGACAUACGAAAACAAAAAUCCAAACAACAAAAUCUUCAUUAGCUUCUGCAGAAACACAUCAUUCACACAAAUACAUUUAAACUCCAUUUAUCAACUCAAGAUUCAACUGAGUACCUGGAAUAACAAGAAACAACCAGAGAAUUUCAGCAAGAAAGUGGCAGUAGCAGCUCUUUAAAAAGCAAUCAGCUACAACUAUCUCUUGAGCCCAGAAAAUGAGUAAUACAUUUGAGCUUAUUUAAAAAUUUCAGAAAUAUGAAAGCAGGCCUUAAUGGAACAGUGAUUGCAGAUUUUUUUUUCUCCUAUUUUUCAAGCUCUAUCAAUGAGUAUCUAUUGUUUUUAUUAGUUUCUAACUCUUUCUAUUGUAAUGUCUACCUCGAUAAUGAAGGAAACAAACCUUAUAAAGGACCUUAGGGCAGCAACACUGAUUUUAACACUACCCCUUCCCCAACUUUCUUUUUUCAAUUCAGACCCUAUUCUGCUACUCCAUUCACUAAUUCACCCCAAACCUCACCUUCCUAGAAGCUGCCUAAUUAGUUAGGCAAGAUUCUCCUUACCCAAUCUCCCUAAACUACCCGUUAAACAGCUACUAUUUACCUUCAAUAUAUUACACAUAAGUCAAAUUAACCCAAAAUCCAAAAACAACCCAAAACCGAUCAGUCUUCCCUUGAAACUGGGUCAGAGAUGACCCAAAAGCCCAAUCACACGAAAUGACCAAACCCAAUACCAAUUGAGCAUUUGAAGUUCAAAUUCUGACCCAUACCAAACUAAAACUUAAUUGAUUAUCUCUGAAUACUAACUCAAAAUCUAGAAAAAUAAAGACAAACAUAAAGGAAAGGAAAAGACAAAAUUAAUUCUAAUUCACUUGACAAAAAUGUCUACAAUUAACAAUAAAUUACUGCUAUCCGAAGUAUUUUAACCAGUCAAAAGAGAAAAAGAAAAUAAGGAGAACAGAGAAGAGAAGAAGUGAAUAGAGAUAGCUAAAAUGAAUAGACAGACAUUCGGCUUGAAAGACCUCCGACAUCUCCGAUUUGACCCGAAAUUGGUAUUAACUGCAUGUUCUCCUCGAGAAAAAACGAACAAUACUAGUUUUAGGCCUAAUCGUUCCUAAAAAACUUGAAGAUUUGGAAAGUUUUUUUUAGAUCUAACACUGGCUGGAUUUGGACCUAUGAGUAAGUACUCCCGGUCUAUACCUUGGCUAAAGUAUCUUGCCAGGUAUGCUAAGCUA
rnacentral:lncRNA from 1 species